UUCCGGUUCGGCGAAAUCACGGAUGAAAAGGGAAUCGGGUGAAAGUCCCGGACAGUCCCGCUGCUGUAAGCUCCAGACAUUUACGUUUGUCUACCCUCUGCAAGGCCACUGUCUUUUAAAUGAAGAUGGGAAGGCAAGACAAACGGGAGUAAGUCAGAAGACCUGCAAA
rnacentral:ncRNA from 1 species